rnacentral:misc_RNA from 1 species
CAGGGUCUAGGCAGGAUGAUAAGUA